rnacentral:tRNA from 1 species
GUGGCUGUAGCUUAGUGGGAGAGCUCUAGAUUGUGGUUCUAGAAGGCGCCAGUUCGAAUCUGGUCAGCCACCCCA